AACGAACGCUGGCGGCAUGCCUAACACAUGCAAGUCGAACGAGACCUUCGGGUCUAGUGGCGCACGGGUGCGUAACGCGUGGGAACCUGCCCUUAGGUUCGGAAUAACUCCCCGAAAGGGGUGCUAAUACCGGAUAAUGUCUUCGGACCAAAGAUUUAUCGCCUUUGGAUGGGCCCGCGUUGGAUUAGCUAGUUGGUAGGGUAAAAGCCUACCAAGGCGACGAUCCAUAGCUGGUCUGAGAGGAUGAUCAGCCACACUGGGACUGAGACACGGCCCAGACUCCUACGGGAGGGAGCAGUGGGGAAUAUUGGACAAUGGGCGAAAGCCUGAUCCAGCAAUGCGGGGUGAGUGAUGAAGGCCUUAGGGUUGUAAAGCUCUUUUACCCGGGAUGAUAAUGACAGUACCGGGAGAAUAAGCUCCGGCUAACUCCGUG
rnacentral:rRNA from 1 species